UACGUAGGAGGCAAGCGUUGUCCGGAAUUACUGGGCGUAAAGCGCGUGUAGGUGGUGGGACAAGUCUGCUGUGAAAGCGCCUGGCUUAACCGGGCGAGGUCGGCGGAAACUGUCGCACUCGAGGACGGUAGAGGGGGGUGGAAUUCCCGGUGUAGUGGUGAAAUGCGUAGAGAUCGGGAGGAACACCAAUGGCGAAGGCGGUUCUCUGGGCCUUACCUGACGCUGAGGAGCGAAAGCGUGGGGAGCGAACAGG
rnacentral:rRNA from 1 species